rnacentral:lncRNA from 1 species
GUAGAGUCAGUCCUCUGCCAAAUUUCUUGAUCCGUAGUUCGAUGUUGGUUUUCACAGGGAUGUUCCUCUUGGCCGUUGCGGCUGAGGUCGGUGGGCGCCCUGACAUUCUGCCAAACGGUGAAGUGCUCCAAGUUGAAGACGAGUUUGCAGCGGUGCGCAAUAGUGCGGAUCCAACGUUACGGCGGAAGAAAUACAUGCUGAAGAAUAAGGAGAAAUUGUGGGGAGGAGCAGUUGUCACUUUCAAAAUGCGGGAUCUCAUAUGGACCUCCGUUCAACACUCGUACCGAACAGUGCACGACGCUAUGCGCGACAUCAUGCAAAAAACCUGCCUUCGAUUUAAAGAGAGGAGUGGGGAACCAGACUACGUGUACAUCGAUUACGAAUUUUUGCUAGCGUAAGUUCAACGAAUUUGUUUGACUUUACAGAACUUUACCUUUAGAAUGGCUGACCAAUCCA